rnacentral:rRNA from 1 species
CCGCCACCUCCUCCUCCCGCUACCACCACCAGCGCCGCCACCCAUGGCACCGCACCCCGCCUUCGCCUCCUCCCCCACGCGGCCGACCCCCGCGCAGCGCACGCGGUCGCGGCCAAGUCUAGCGCGGACGCGCGCCUCGCGAACGCCGUCAUGUGCGGCUACAUCCGCGCGGGCCGCCUCACCGACGCGGUUGAGGUGUUCGACCGGAUGACCGCCCGUGACGCUGCCUCCUACAGCGCGCUCAUCUCGGGCCACGCCCGGCUGGGCUCCCCCGUAUCUGCUGCCGCGGCGCUCUUCCGCAGCAUGCGCCUCGCGGGAGUCGCCCCCACAGAGUACACUUUCGUGGGCCUCCUCACCGCCUGCAUCCGCAGGGGCAACCCGCGGCUCGGGACCCAGGUCCACGCGCUCGCCGCCAAGGGACGGUACUCCGGCGGCUCUCUCCUCGUCGCCAACGCGCUCCUUGGCAUGUACGUCAAGUGCGGUCGCUUAGAGGACGCUCUGAGGGUGUUCGACGGGAUGGAGGAGCGCGACGUGUCCUCAUGGAACACGGUGCUGUCCGGCCUGGUCGAGCUGGGGAGGUACGAGGAGGCGCUUGAGCUGUUUGGGGACAUGCGGACGGCCGAUGUUGCGGUCGACCGGUUUUCUCUGUCAGCGCUUCUGACGGCGGCUACUGAAGGGUUCAGCCUGCCUCUGGGGGCAGCGGUGCACGCUCUGUCUCUCAAGUCCGGGAUGGAGCUGGAUUUGAGUGUGGGCAAUGCGCUCAUUGGAUUUUAUGCUGAGCAUGGUGAUUCUGUCGAGGAUGUGGUUGGUGUGUUUCAGAGGAUGCCAGUAAAGGACGUAAUUUCGUGGACUGGGUUACUCAAUGGAUACAUGGAAUUUGGUUUAGUUGACAAGGCUCUGCGCGUGUUUGAUCGGAUGCCUGAGAGGAAUUUUGUUACAUAUAAUGCAGUUCUCACCGGGUUUUGUCAGAACAAGGAAGGUGUGCGAGUCAGUUUUGCUAGGAAGGCUGGGCUGCAGGGGCUCGGGUUGUUUAGGCAGAUGCUGGAGAAUGGGUUGGAGAUGUCAGACGUCACCAUGACUGGUGUCCUCAAUGCUUGUGCUAUUGCUGCGGAUAGGAAGAUGAGUGAGCAGGUUCACACAUUUGUGAUUAAGUGUGGCUGUGGUUCAAGUCCUUGGAUUGACGCCGCGUUGAUAGACAUGUGCGUCAAGUGUGGUAGGUCUGGAGAUGCACGUCUGUUGUUUGAGCAUUGGCGCCACCAGGAGAGUUUUCACAUUGCUUGGAGCUCUUUACUGCUUUCUAGCGUUAGAGAUGGAGAGUAUGAGAAAGCGCUUUCUACAUUCCUUCAAAUGUUUAGAAGCAGUGAUAUUCAGUUCAUUGAUGCGUUUUUGUUGACUACUGCACUUGGAGUUUGUGGUGCUUUGGGUUUUACGGAGCUUGGAAAGCAACUGCAUCUGCUUGCUGCAAAAUCUGGGCUUUUGCGUGCUUGUGGAGUUGGUAAUGCAAUUGUCAGUAUGUAUGGCAAGUGCGGACAAUUGGAAAAUGCAGUCACUUUCUUUCAGCGAAUGCCUCAUCGAGACCUUGUGUCUUGGAAUGCGCUGAUCACUGCUCAUCUUCUCCAUCGCCAGGGAGAUGAAAUAUGGGACAUAUGGUCUCAAAUGGAGAGAUUAGCCAUCAAGCCUGACUCCGUGACCUUUCUUCUGAUCAUAUCAGCUUGCAGUUGUACAGACUCAGAUUCUGCAGAUGCAUCUAUGGAACUGUUUCGUUGUAUGUCAAGCAAGUACAACACUGAACCUGCUAUGGAACACUUUGCAGCAGUUGUGUACGUCCUUGGCUGCUGGGGUCAUUUUGAUGAGGCUGAACAGUUUAUAGCUAGUAUGCCAUUCAAGCCUGGUGCAUUAGUUUGGCGAUCUUUGCUGGAAAGCUGUAGCAAGCAGUCCAAUAUGACACUGCGAAGGCGAGCUAUGAGUCAUCUACUUGCCCUGGAACCACAAGACCCAUCCACAUAUGUUCUGGCAUCUAAUCUGUACUCUGAAUCAGCAAAGUGGCAUUGCUCAGAGAACACAAGGCUGGAGAUGCGGCAAAAGGGUAUCCAUAAGAUUCCAGCAAGGAGCUGGACAUUUUAUGACAAUGCUAUUCACUCAUUUUUCGCUCGAGAUAGAUCACAUCCUCAGUCCAAGGACAUCUAUGCUGGUCUGGACGUGCUAACUCUUGAGUGCAUUAAGGCCGGGUAUGAACCAGACACCACCUUUGUCCUACAUGAUGUCGAGGAAUACCAAAAGAGACACUUCCUAAUGUACCACAGUGCAAAGCUGGCAGCUACAUAUGGCCUCCUAAUGGCAGGCUCUGGGAAAAUUAUCCGUGUGGUGAAGAACAUCCGCAUGUGUGGUGACUGCCACUCAUUUCUGGAGCAUGCCUCUGCUGCUACCGGAAAAGAGAUUUCAGUCAGAGACUCGAAUGGGUUUCAUGUUUUUAGGGCAGGGAUUUGUUCCUGUAGAGAUUAG